GACGAACGCUGGCGGCGUGCUUAACACAUGCAAGUCGAACGGAAAGGCCCUGCUUUUGUGGGGUGCUCGAGUGGCGAACGGGUGAGUAACACGUGAGUAACCUGCCCUUGACUUUGGGAUAACUUCAGGAAACUGGGGCUAAUACCGGAUAGGAUCUCCUGCUGCAUGGUGGGGGUUGGAAAGUUUCGGCGGUUGGGGAUGGACUCGCGGCUUAUCAGCUUGUUGGUGGGGUAGUGGCUUACCAAGGCUUUGACGGGUAGCCGGCCUGAGAGGGGUACCCGCCACAUUGGGACUGAGAGACGGCCCAGACUCCUACGGGAGGCAGCAGUGGGGAAUAUUGCACAAUGGGCGGAAGCCAGAUGCAGCAACGCCGCGUGCGGGAUGACGGCCUUCGGGGUGUAAACCACUUUCGCCUGUGACGAAGCGUGAGUGACGGUAAUGGGUAAAGAAGCACCGGCUAACUACGUG
rnacentral:rRNA from 1 species